rnacentral:rRNA from 1 species
AGAGUUGAUCCUGGCUUAGGACGAACGCUGGCGGCGUGCUUAACACAUGCAAGUCGAGCGAUGAAGUCCCUCGGGGACGGAUUAGCGGCGGACGGGUGAGUAACACGUGGGUAACCUGCCUCAUAGAGGGGAAUAGCCUUCCGAAAGGAAGAUUAAUACCGCAUAAGAUUGUAGUUUCGCAUGAAACAGCAAUUAAAGGAGUAAUCCGCUAUGAGAUGGACCCGCGUCGCAUUAGCUAGUUGGUGAGGUAACGGCUCACCAAGGCGACGAUGCGUAGCCGACCUGAGAGGGUGAUCGGCCACAUUGGGACUGAGACACGGCCCAGACUCCUACGGGAGGCAGCAGUGGGGAAUAUUGCACAAUGGGGGAAACCCUGAUGCAGCAAACCGCCGCGUGAGUGAUGACGGUCUUCGGAUUGUAAAGCUCUGUCUUCAGGGACGAUAAUGACGGUACCUGAGGAGGAAGCCACGGCUAACUACGUGCCAGCAGCGGC